rnacentral:ncRNA from 1 species
GAAAAUCCGAUGACAAAGCAAAGUAUGUAAUAGAAUAACAUAUAAUAGAGAGACCGAAAGCUGGAAAAGGUCAUAUGCUAUUACAGAAAAUUCACUUUUGAGGAGUCUUCUUGAAAUUAUAGUAGAGAAGAACGCAUGACUGCGUUAAAACAAAAUGAGGUCGAAAGAUAAACUUAGGUGGUACCGAGGAAAUAUAAAAAGUUUCUCCCUAUAU